rnacentral:lncRNA from 1 species
UUCUACCCUGCUUUCCCUAAAUCCCCCUAUCAGAUAUGAAACCGUCCUUUGAAAUUGAAUGUUAUCAUCAAUUUCUUCAACUCAAUCGUUCUCUUCAAUGCGAUAAUAAUUAGAUUCUUCAAUAUAAUCGUUCCUCCGCUCAUCCCAAAUCAUGCCUUGUUUCACUAAUUAAUUCAUCCCCGCUCGCUCCCAUUUCUACCCCUGCUCUCUUUUCAUCGCUCAACACACACCUGCGACAUCAUCCAUUAUCAGUACGUUGCAAGACCUCAAUUCGAUUCAUGAGUUUAAUUUUCAAUCAAGUGAAUGUCCAAAUUAAAUCCGUUGAAACCGCUGUCUCUUUGUUUCCCUUUGAAUGGAAAGAGUGGGAGGUUAGAAGUAGAGACAGAGAGAAGUAGGGAUGCAGCUGUUGGUUUCUAAAGCAACCGAUGGAAACGGAUGUUUCCUCCGGCCAACGGGAUCUUGAUUUCGUCAUUCGGUUUCAGCCUGUUGUUGAAGUUUCACUCAAACAACACGAUUUGACAGGGUUGAAGCUUACAAGUACCGUUAUCCUGCAGAUCUAAGUUCUUACUUUCCCUAAAUUUUUUGUCUACCUUUUGUUGACACGGAUUCUAUGAAGAAAAUAACUUGUAUAUGAUUUAGUUUUAUCUAAUUCUUACUUUUUAUAUAUGUUUUUGUGUGUACUGAUGAUGCAGGGUUUUUUGAAUAUAUUCUUUUGUAGUGAUAUUUGCAAUGAUACUAGGGCUUGGUUCAAAUGCUUUCUCAGACAAGGUAGAUUCAUUGCGAAAAAAAGGAAUAGUUAAGUGAUUGAAAGCAACCACAUACUCUUUCUUGGAUGGAGUGACAAAUUGGUUAGUUUUUAGUUGUUUUGUGCGUUUCCUUUAUUCUGGAGUUUCAUUUAGCUUGUUUGGGUUAUAGUGUUCACUUUUAAAGCAGCUGGAAACAACAAAUAAGAGCAUUGGUGGCGUUGUUGUUGUUGUUCUGGCUGAGAGGGAUAAACAGGAUAUGGAUAUAGUAAAACUUGAAUAUAGAUUCAUGGGCACUUUAGUUAUAUGCAGAAGUAGUUUUGCUUUCGAAGGCACAAGCUAUAAUUGUACUCGCAGCAGAUGAAAAUGUAGAUUAGGCUUAUUUACCAAGUUAUAUGGAGAAAAUGAUCAAAGGGUUGGAAUGGACAUGUGCUCUCUACCUUACGCAAAGUGCGCAAAAGGUGCCUUAUGUCCCAAAUGGUCUUGAAAUGAUUAAGUGCACCUGGAGCUGUUGAAUCAUUUGCUCAAGUUUGUUCAGAAGUGGUGCAAUGGAUCCCUUAAUGGAUUCAUAUAUUGAGAGAAUGCAAGCAACAUGGGUAAACUUGCAAAAAUGAAUUUUGAGUCCAUACG